rnacentral:rRNA from 1 species
GUGGGGAAUAUUGGACAAUGGGCGAAAGCCUGAUCCAGCCAUGUCGCGUGAGUGAUGAAGGCCUUAGGGUUGUAAAGCUCUUUCAGUAGGGAAGAUAAUGACGGUACCUAUAGAAGAAGCCCCGGCUAACUUCGUGCCAGCAGCCGCGGUAAUACGAAGGGGGCUAGCGUUGUUCGGAUUUACUGGGCGUAAAGCGCACGUAGGCGGAUUGGUCAGUUAGAGGUGAAAUCCUGGAGCUCAACUCCAGAACUGCCUUCGAUACUGGCGAUCUUGAGUCCGGAAGAGGUGAGUGGAACUCCUAGUGUAGAGGUGGAAUUCGUAGAUAUUAGGAAGAACACCAGUGGCGAAGGCGGCUCACUGGUCCGGUACUGACGCUGAGGUGCGAAAGCGUGGGGAGCAAACAGGAUUAGAAACCCGGGUAGUCC